AGAUUGAACGCUGGCGGCAUGCCUUACACAUGCAAGUCGAACGGCAGCACGGGAGCAAUCCUGGUGGCGAGUGGCGAACGGGUGAGUAAUACAUCGGAACGUGCCCAAUCGUGGGGGGAUAACGCAGCGAAAGCUGUGCUAAUACCGCAUAAGAUCUACGGAUGAAAGCAGGGGAUCGCAAGACCUUGCGCGAAUGGAGCGGCCGAUGGCAGAUUAGGUAGUUGGUGAGGUAAAGGCUCACCAAGCCUUCGAUCUGUAGCUGGUUUGAGAGGACGACCAGCCACACUGGGACUGAGACACGGCCCAGACUCCUACGGGAGGCAGCAGUGGGAAUUUUGGACAAUGGGGAAACCCUGAUCCAGCCAUCCCGCGUGUGCGAUGAAGGCCUUCGGUUGUAAGCACUUUUGGACAGGAAGAAACGGCGUACCCUAAGUACGGGACGUCACUGACGGUACCUGCGAGAAGUAAGACACCGGACUAACGUACGU
rnacentral:rRNA from 1 species